AAAAUUUAAGGGUUCAAUAAAUAUGGUAUUUCCAGCAAAUAGAUUAGCUGAACUUAUAAGUAUUUUAAGGG
rnacentral:snoRNA from 1 species